AGAGGUGUCUGUGCUUCCCAGCUAGACCGGAGCUCGCUGCAGCCCCUCACUUUUUCCCCGGUCCUGCUUCAGGCCCCACUUCCUCUCUGCAGGUGCUUAGGCCGAAAAUCAGGAAUCUCUUGAAUGAAUGCAUGAAGGUGGAGCCCUUUCCCUUAAUGCGCAGGUGAAAAGGGCACCUCGGUGGAUUCUACUAAAUUUAAUAGAAGACCCAAGACGGGGUGGGGGAGACGUGCUUUGUGCUCACCUGGCUGGUUCAUGGGCAGGUGGCCUGGAGGACCCAGCCCUGGCAGCUGUGGGGUAGCUCCAGCCUGGGCCGGACAGCUUCUUUCAUCGCAGGCACCACUGCGGACAUUGCUGGGAGGAAGAGGAGGGAGAAGCGACGGGCUUCAUUAGGAACGGCUUUCGAUGGAUUGGACGAGGCGCGUCCACCCUGGGGAGGGCCAUCAUUUUAUUCAGUCUACUGAUGCAAAUGCUUAUCUCUUCUGGAAACACCUUCACAGACAGACCCAGAAUAUAGUUGAACCAAAUACUGGGCACCUCAUGGCUCCAACAGGUUGACACAAAAAAUGAACCAUUGCAGAAAACGAAGAACAGUCACCAACUCCCACCCAUGCAGCUGGCUCAUUUGCUGGGCUGCCCUCCCCAGCAGGUGGCACAGGAAUCCCUGCCUUGGCAGGGAGGAGGCCUGGGGUGUGUGCAGGUACCCAUGGGAAGUUUCUUUGCCAUGGGGAAAGCCAGAGUCACCCCUUGCUUGAACACAAGAGUUGGAGGUUUCAGUGAGCUGAGAUUACGCUAUUGCACUCCAGCCUGGGCGGCAGAGUGAGACUCUGUCUCUAGAUAAAUAAAUUAAAUAAAUAAAUAAAUAUAAUUUAAUAUAAAUAACUAGAAAUUUUUCAAUACUUGCAUCUCUGUAGGUUACCUCUGGAAGUGCAGGGCUUUGUCUUUUUGGAUUAACUCAGAAAUUAGACCUUCAGAAAACAACAUCAGCUCUGAUUCUCUGCACCCUUGAUGCUGCCGGUGGCGACUGCGGCUUCCUGAUGGAAAUGUAGACCUGAACAUAAGUCGCAGAAAAAUGCAGACUUGAGUUGGAGCUAAGCUGACUCAGGUAUUUUGAGAUCUAUAAUCUGAGUGGGGAGC
rnacentral:lncRNA from 1 species